ensembl:lncRNA
AUGAUGCUUUUUAGGUAUUCUCUAUUCUCUAUUCUUCCCUUUAUUAUUUUAUCUAUUAAAUAUUUUCCCUGCCCUUGUAGAGAAAGAGGGGCCACCUGGGGGCAGUCCGUACUGCGACAUGAGGACCAGAGGAAGAAGCUGUCCUCUGCCUUGUCCGGCUUUGAUCUUCAGUCUGCAUUCAGAAUUCUAGAUGGGUGCCCCUGCCCCAGCUCAUCUUCCAGCCAAGAUGGGGAGAAAUUAAAAUAAAAACAGAAAUAGCUGAAAAACAUUUGGAAUAAUGUUUCCACUUCAGUGGAACUCUACAUGUGCUGUCUUCGGGUCACAGCUUUUAACUCUCUCCUGUGUCCCAAACCUGCAACAGUGCUGAGGAAAGACCGAUUCAUAAAGAGAAUGAAGUAUGCAGCUGAGCAGAAGCAGUAUUGACCGCCUCAACAUGGAGUACCUGUAUUAUCUUCUCAGAUUCUGGUAAGAAAUAUAUCUACAUCUAAGGGUAGACAAGUGGGGGGUUGGUAAUCAGCAGAGUUCAGGCCUGACAUUGUAGCAGCACUGCUCUUUAGAGGACCAGUCCCAAACAGCAAAUCCUCCACAUGCAGUCCUGGGCGAGGGCCAUCUGCGCAGCCCUCAUGGCCAGUAUUUUGUCUGAUAGUCAGACUGGCACUUGCGCCAUAUGGUGUAGAGACAUGGUAAAACAACCUUCUAAAACAGAAACUAGCGGAAGAUCAAAUUACCCAGGUAAAGAAAAAUUGGUUUAACUUUUAAAAUACAAGCUGCAAUGCAUAUGUUCGUUGGUAUCAUUUUGAUC